rnacentral:rRNA from 1 species
GUGCCAGCCGCCGCGGUAAUACCGGCAGCCCGAGUGAUGGCCGAUCUUAUUGGGCCUAAAGCGUCCGUAGCUGGCUGCGCAAGUCCGUCGGGAAAUCCACUCGCCCAAUGAGUGGGCGUCCGGUAGAAACUGGUCGGCUUGGAACCGGAAGGCUCAGAGAGUACGUCCGGGGUAGGAGUGAAAUCCCGUAAUCCCGGACGGACUACCGAUGGCGAAAGCACUCCGAGAAGACGGCUUCGACAGUGAGGGACGAAAGCUCGGGUCUCAAACCGGAUUAGAAACCCUUGUAGUCC